rnacentral:rRNA from 1 species
GCAUAUCAAUAAGCGGAGGAAAAGAAACCAACAGGGAUUGCCCUUAGUAACGGCGAAGUGAAGCGGCAACAGCUCAAAUUUGAAAUCUGGCUUCGGCCCGAGUUGUAAUUUGUAGAGGAUGCUUUUGGUGAGGUGCCUUCUGAGUUCCCUGGAACGGGACGCCAGAGAGGGUGAGAGCCCCGUAUAGUCGGCCACCGAUCCUCUGUAAAGCUCCUUCGACGAGUCGAGUAGUUUGGGAAUGCUGCUCAAAAUGGGAGGUAUAUCUCUUCUAAAGCUAAAUAUUGGCCAGAGACCGAUAGCGCACAAGUAGAGUGAUCGAAAGAUGAAAAGCACUUUGAAAAGAGGGUUAAAUAGCACGUGAAAUUGUUGAAAGGGAAGCGCUUGUGACCAGACUUGUGCCGGGCUGAUCAUCCAGUGUUCUCACUGGUGCACUCGACCCGGCUCAGGCCAGCGUCGGUUCUCGUAGGGGGAUAAAAGCUUCGGGAACGUGGCACCUUCGGGUGUGUUAUAGCCCGUUGCUUAAUACCCUUGUGGGGACCGAGGUUCGCGCUCUGCAAGGACGCUGGCAUAAUGGUCAUCAGCGACCCGUCUUGAAACACGGACCAAGGAGUCGAGGUUUUGCGCGAGUGUUUGGGUGUAAAACCCGCACGCGUAAUGAAAGUGAACGUAGGUGAGAGCUUCGGCGCAUCAUCGACCGAUCCUGAUGUAUUCGGAUGGAUUUGAGUAAGAGCGUAUAGCCUCGGACCCGAAAGAUGGUGAACUAUGCCUGAAUAGGGUGAAGCCAGAGGAAACUCUGGUGGAGGCUCGCAGCGGUUUCUGACGUGCAAAUCGAUUCGUCAAAUUUGGGCAUGGGGGGCGAAAGACUAAUCGAACCCAUCUAGUAGCUGGUUUACUCGCCGA